rnacentral:lncRNA from 1 species
GAACGAUCACCUAGGGGAAGGCCUCUGAAAAGAUGUUCCUCAGCCCUAGGGCCAUCUCUCCACCAACCCCCACCCACCUAAAACUACAAGAGUCAUCUGUUUCCCCAGGGAAGGUAAGUCUGGUCUCCCUUGGUCCCCUGGUCCGCGUCUGGUCUCCCUUGGUCCCCUGGUCCGAGUCUGGUUUCCCUUGGUCCUCUGGUCCAAGUCUGGUUUUCUGUAGGUUAAAUUUGUCUUUGGCGCCUUACCUGUUGUGUGUUUCAUUGUCCUGUCUUGUUUAUUGUUUGUUAUUGUUUGUCCCCUUUCUGUUUUACGUUAAUUUCUACCUCAGUUUGUUUCUAAAGUUAAAAAAAAAAAUGGUUAAAAGGGCACUUAGGAUUCACACAACAAAUCCACCAUGAUUUCUGAUGGCUCUUGUCUAUUGUGUUGAAUUGGUGCAAACCAGCCCCAUCUGGGCUCAGGUGUCCCCAGUUUCCUGGGGAAAGCAAUACUGAGGAGCAUCUUCCUGUAUACCACUCUGCGCCCUCCGUCAGUCCCUCAGGAAGCCCUCCCGGAGGCAGACAGUUGGGUGAAGGCCUGGCUGCUUUGGAGGACUUCUGCCAGACAAUGCCAACUGCAGCACAGACAGCCUGAGUCCAUCCAUCUGGGUGAGAAGUAUGUCUGCUCCCAUUCUCACCCUGGCUGGGCACUUCCCGCUUAUUCUUGGCGUCUUUUUCAGAGCAGUUAAGGAAGCCCUGGGCUCCAGGGUUUGUGUCUGCCACUAGAGGGAGCGCCUGGUCCACUUAGGAGCACACUUAGGAAUCAGCAGCGAUGCUCUCGCCAGGAAAGCAGACCUCUGCUCUGGAAGCACAAAGCAAAGUGGUUCCCACAGCUACCCACGCCAGUGUGUACAGAGACUUCAAGCUGCAGCCAUGAGUGGCUGCGUACAAAGAUUCAGGCUGGUCAGGGGCAGGGAACCACAGCCAGCGGACUGAGAAGCCCACUGGGAAGAAAGGAAACGCAAAUAAAAGCGGAGACACUUUCCUUGUCCCAGGACUGCCACUAUUUUGUUAAAUCUUCAUUCAAAUGUCACUUUCUCACUGCAGCUGCCCAUUUAGACUGUGCCCCAGCAUUCCUGAACCUCUUUCAGCCUGCUCUGAUGUUCACAGCUACUAACUGACUUAAGGAAUAUGUCUUAAUAACUACAGGCUGAACCCAAGAC